AUACGGAGGGUGCAAGCGUUAAUCGGAAUUACUGGGCGUAAAGCGCGCGUAGGCGGCUUGGUAAGUCGGAUGUGGAAUCCCCGGGCUUAACCUGGGAAUUGCAUUCGAUACUGUCAGGCUAGAGUGUGGUAGAGGGAAGUGGAAUUUCCGGUGUAGCGGUGAAAUGCGUAGAUAUCGGAAGGAACACCAGUGGCGAAGGCGGCUUCCUGGACCAACACUGACGCUGAGGCGCGAAAGCGUGGGGAGCAAACAGGAUUAGAAACCCUAGUAGUCC
rnacentral:rRNA from 1 species